rnacentral:rRNA from 1 species
GAUGAACGCUGGCGGCGUGCCUAAUACAUGCAAGUCGAGCGAACGGACGAGAAGCUUGCUUCUCUGAUGUUAGCGGCGGACGGGUGAGUAACACGUGGAUAACCUACCUAUAAGACUGGGAUAACUUCGGGAAACCGGAGCUAAUACCGGAUAAUAUUUUGAACCGCAUGGUUCAAAAGUGAAAGACGGUCUUGCUGUCACUUAUAGAUGGAUCCGCGCUGCAUUAGCUAGUUGGUAAGGUAACGGCUUACCAAGGCAACGAUGCAUAGCCGACCUGAGAGGGUGAUCGGCCACACUGGAACUGAGACACGGUCCAGACUCCUACGGGAGGCAGCAGUAGGGAAUCUUCCGCAUUGGGCGAAAGCCUGACGGAGCAACGCCGCGUGAGUGAUGAAGGUCUUCGGAUCGUAAAACUCUGUUAUUAGGGAAGAACAUAUGUGUAAAUAACUGUGCACAUCUUGACGGUACCUAAUCAGAAAGCCACGGCUAACUACGUG